AACGAACGCUGGCGGCAUGCCUAACACAUGCAAGUCGAACGAGACCUUCGGGUCUAGUGGCGCACGGGUGCGUAACGCGUGGGAAUCUGCCCUUGGGUUCGGAACAACAGUUGGAAACGACUGCUAAUACCGGAUGAUGACUUCGGUCCAAAGAUUUAUCGCCCAGGGAUGAGCCCGCGUAGGAUUAGCUUGUUGGUGAGGUAAAAGCUCACCAAGGCGACGAUCCUUAGCUGGUCUGAGAGGAUGAUCAGCCACACUGGGACUGAGACACGGCCCAGACUCCUACGGGAGGCAGAAGUGGGGAAUAUUGGACAAUGGGCGAAAGCCUGAUCCAGCAAUGCCGCGUGGGUGAUGAAGGCCUUAGGGUUGUAAAGCUCUUCUACCCGGGAUGAUAAUGACAGUACCGGGAGAAUAAGCCCCGGCUAACUCCGUGCCAGCCGCCGCCGUAAUAC
rnacentral:rRNA from 1 species